rnacentral:tRNA from 1 species
ACCAGGAUAGUUUAUCUAGUAGAACGUUGGAUUUUGAUUCCAAAAAAAGGGGGGCAGCACCUCUUCCUGGAA